GAAUAUUGGUCAAUGGGCGGAAGCCUGAACCAGCCAUGCCGCGUGCGGGAAGGAGGCCCUAUGGGCUGUGAACCGCUUUUGCCUGGGGGCAAUAAGGGCGUCGCGCACGUCCGAUGAGAGUACCAGGCGAAUAAGCAUCGGCUAACUCCGUGCCAGCAGCCGCGGUAAUACGGGGGAUGCGAGCGUUAUCCGGAUUCAUUGGGUUUAAAGGGUGCGUAGGCUGUGCGUCAAGUCGGGGGUGAAAUUCCGGUGCUCAACACCGGGGCUGCCCUUGAUACUGUCGCGCUGGAGUGCGGAUGCCGCCGGAGGAAUGAGUGGUGUAGCGGUGAAAUGCUUAGAUAUCACUCAGAACACCGAUUGCGAAGGCAUCUGGCGAAUCCGUAACUGACGCUGAGGCACGAAAGCGUGGGGAUAGAACAGGAUUAGAUACCCUGGUAUUCCACGCCGUAAACGAUGAUGGCUAACCGCCGGCGACACACUGUCGGUGGCCAAGCGAAAGCGAUAAGCCAUCCACCUGGGGAGUACGUCGGCAACGAUGAAACUCAAAGGAAUUGACGGGGGCCCGCACAAGCGGAGGAACAUGUGGUUUAAUUCGAUGAUACGCGAGGAACCUUACCCGGGCUCGAACGGCACCUGGAUCACCCAGAGAUGGUUGAGUCUUCGGACAGGUGUCGAGGUGCUGCAUGGUUGUCGUCAGCUCGUGCCGUGAGGUGUCGGCUCAAGUGCCAUAACGAGCGCAACCCUUGCCGCCAGUUGCCAUCAGGUGAUGCUGGGCACUCUGGCGGGACUGCCACCGCAAGGUGUGAGGAGGGGGGGGAUGACGUCAAAUCAGCACGGCCCUUACGUCCGGGGCGACACACGUGUUACAAUGGCGGCCACAGAGGGAAGCUACCCCGCGAGGGGAUGCGGAUCUCGAAAAGCCGUCCCAGUUCGGACUGGAGUCUGCAACCCGACUCCACGAAGUUGGAUUCGCUAGUAAUCGCGCAUCAGCCAUGGCGCGGUGAAUACGUUCCCG
rnacentral:rRNA from 1 species